UGUAUUGAUGCAUUCCAGUUGUUCGAUGAAAGUCUGCGUAGAAAAAUUAUAAUUUUGUUCAUGAAAAAUACCCAAGUUGCAAGUGAUAAUAGUAAGUUCUGAUUCUUUUUAGAAUUGGAGAACCUUGUCUUUAUGCUUGAUUUUAUGUUCUGUUAGAGAACCUUCAUGAUCUGGGUAAAAUAUUAGGAAAAUUUUAUUAUGUUUGAUGCAUGUUCUAUUAGAAAAAUUGAAAUGUUGUUCAUGAAAAAUCACCAAAGUUGCAUGCGAUAAUAGUAAGUUAAGUUUUGAUUAUCUUCAAAACUUACAGCCAUCUCUAUAUGAAAUCUUGUCUUUAUGCUUGAUUUUAUGUUUUUGUUAGAGAAAAAUAUGAUUGUUUUCUUUGAGUAUUGAGGCUUUUUAGUCCAGAAAAUGUGAGGGUAUUUGGAAGUACUUGUUAUAGAGGGUUAGGAUUUGCAUUAUAUUAUCAUCUAGGCUAGUUUGAAAAGUGAAGGAAAAUAUGAAAUCUUGUCACUACAUUCACUUACACUUUAUUUUCUGUCUGGUUACUGGUUAUGUAGUCUGAAUUUUGGUUUUAAGCUACACGCUUCAAUGGACAUUGAUUCAAACAAUCCUUCAUUGAAUGGGACUGAGGAAGUUGAAGAACUGGAGAACAAUCAUCAUUAAAUGAGAUUGGUGAAGUUAAAGAACCUAAGAAGGGGCUGUGUUUUAGCUAAAAGCAAGAAGUAUAUGCGUUUUAUGCAAAAUUUGCAAAACACCUUUGAUUUGUUGUAGCUUAUAUACAACACAAAAUAUUGGGCAAGAUGGGAAAGUAAAAUACUUUAGAAUUGAAUGUACUCGGGCAUGAAAGAGAACAAAACGAUCAGAAGUACACCCUCUUGAACCAUCUUUGUCAUCAAAAAUUGAAUGUAAAGCAAAGGUUAGAGCGACUCUACAAAAGGAUGGAAGAUUUAAGUUAACCACAGUUAUGCUUGAGCAUAUGCAUGACUUGAUUCCUAGUGACUCAUGGCAUUUUGCAAUGAAUAAGAGGAUUCUUACUCUUAUGAAGAGAAGACUAGAAAUAAAUGAUGAAGGAGGGAUAGGGGUGGCUAGGAAUUUUCAUUCUAUAGUUGUUGAAGAAGGGAGGUACGAGGCAUUAACAUUUGAUGAACAAGAUGCAAGGAAUCACAUUGACAAUGUUAGAAGAUUGAGGCUUGGGGUACGAGAUGCUGAAUCAGUUCCACUUUAUUUUCAUAGGAUGCAACAACAAAAUUCAAACUUCUAUUCUGCAAUUGACCUCGAUGUUGAUGGUCGCAUGUGAAACGUAUUUUGGGUGGAUGCAAGGAGUAGGGCAGCUUAUAAAGCAUUUGGGGAUGUUGUUUCAUUUGACACAACCUAUCUCACAAACAAAUAUGAUAUGUCAUUUGCUUCGUUUGUAGGAGUUAAUCACCAUGAGCAGCCAAUUUUGCUUGGCUGUGGGCUGUUAUGUAAUGAGAACACUGAAACAUUUGUGUGCCUAUUCAGAGAAUGGUUAAGUUGCAUGUCAGACGCUCCUCCAAAAGCUAUAAUAACUGACUAGUGCAGAGCUAUGCAAAAUGCCAUUGAAGUUUUCUUUCCACAAGCUCGACAUCGUUGGUGCUUAUGGCAUAUAAUGAAGAAAAUUCCAAAGAAAUUGAGAGGAUAUUUCCAAUAUGAAUCCAUAAAGGUUGCUUUGCAAAAUGCAGUUUAUGAUUCCUUUACAAAAGAUUGAAUUUGAUGAAGAACAAGCGAUGAUUGCAAAGUUCAAUCUGAAUAAUAAUGACUGGCUGGGGGUAUUAUACGGUGAGCGACAUAGGUGGAUUCCUGCCUAUGUUAAGGACAUUUUUUAGGCUGGCAUGUCAACUACACAAUGAAGUGAGAGUAUGAAUGCAUUUUUUGAUGGAUAUGUGAACUCAAAGACAACUUUAAAGCAAUUUGUUGAACAUUAUGAUAAUGCCUUGAGAAGUAAGGUGAAGAAAGAGACCAAAGCAGACUUUAAUUCUCAAAACAAAUUGUAUGAUUGCUUAACAAUAUAUGAGUUUGGGAAGCAAUUUCGUGCAACGUAUACAAAUGCUAAAUUUCAAGAAGUGCAAGUAGAAUUGAAGUGACUAUUAUAUUGUCGUGCGAAUCUUGUCAAAGAGGAGGGAGUAAUUUGUACAUAUUAUGUCAAGAAGGCUGUUCUAGUCGGUGAGAAAAUGAAGACAUUGGAAUUUGUUGUGUGCUUUAAUGCAAGUGAAUGUGAAAUGCAAUGUAUGUGUCGGUGGUUUGAGUUUCGGGGCAUUAUGUGUGCCCAUUCAAUUAGUGUGCUCCUUGAGAGGUGCAUAUAUCAGGUUCCAGAUAAAUACAUUGUAUCGACAUGAAGAAAAGAUAUCGAAAGAGGGUACACAUGCAUUCCAACUACAUAUACUAAAUCUGAGGAUGUUCUCAAUGCAAACGUGCGUGAUAAAUACCACAAGAUGUUGGAUGAAAUCCUAGAAAUUGCUGCCAAUGAUGAUGGUAAACACAAAGUGCAUGAUCUUGGGUUUAUAGAAAUCAAGGAUAGAGUGAGAAAAGAUCAACCAGGUAGUACGAGUCACGUGUCACCUUUCACUAGUAACGUGCCACCUUCUACUAGUAAUGUACCACUUUCUCACACUUCGUCUAAAAGUCCGUCUGCUCUUAGUACUGCAAAAGCAAACAUGUUUCGCAAGAUGCUAAGUCCUAUGGUUGCUCGCCGAAGAGGCCAUCUAUGUACCAAACGGAAGGUUAGCAAAGUGGAAAAAAUAGUGAAUCGGUUGAAGGGAAGAGUAAAAAGCUUCGAAUGCACAAGUAAGUUUUUUUUUAUUGUGUUUCAUAUGCAAAUUGCUGAAUGUUUUUAAGAUAAAUUAUUCACCAAUGUAUCUUACUAUAGGGAAGUACGGUGCCUCAAGGUCAGUCUUGGAAGUUAAAUUUUCAUUCUACGGAUGAUAUGCAAUACAGUAUGUAUGAUUUGGAGGAGCCACAAACUGCACCUUUCUAUUUUCCUUGCGUGGAUGGCACGCAACAGAGUAUGCACAGUUUAGCCCAAUACAAAUGGUGGACAAUAUUGGAAGCACAUCUCAUACUCAAUUAGGAAUGGUGACCAACAUCGGCAAUCAAACUUUGACAGUCGCUUCAAAAUUUGUUCACUUCAAUGUAGAAGCAGAUCCAAAUGUCCCAUUCUUUUUUUUCUUCUUUUUUUUCGCAGUAGUACUUUGAAUUUUUUUUGGUUUGUAAACAAUGGAUGGUAUGGUUUGUAACUGUUGGUUUGAGUUAGUAAACAAUGGAUGGUUUGGCUUGUAAAUGUUGGUUUGAAUUAAAUUGGAUUCAAUUUAAUUGAAUUUUGUUUUUGGAAA